CAUCCCUAUGAUGUAUGUGAUGUUUAUUAAAAGUAGUGGACCGAGCUCCAUUGAUGAGUAAUAGUUCUGAAGUAUG